GAUGAACGCUGGCGGCGUGCCUAAUACAUGCAAGUCGAGCGAACAGACGAGGAGCUUGCUCCUCUGACGUUAGCGGCGGACGGGUUAGUAACACGUGGAUAACCUACCUAUAAGACUGGGAUAACUUCGGGAAACCGGAGCUAAUACCGGAUAAUAUAUUGAACCGCAUGGUUCAAUAGUGAAAGACGGUUUUGCUGUCACUUAUAGAUGGAUCCGCGCCGCAUUAGCUAGUUGGUAAGGUAACGGCUUACCAAGGCGACGAUGCGUAGCCGACCUGAGAGGGUGAUCGGCCACACUGGAACUGAGACACGGUCCAGACUCCUACGGGAGGCAGCAGUAGGGAAUCUUCCGCAAUGGGCGAAAGCCUGACGGAGCAACGCCGCGUGAGUGAUGAAGGUCUUCGGAUCGUAAAACUCUGUUAUUAGGGAAGAACAAAUGUGUAAGUAACUAUGCACGUCUUGACGGUACCUAAUCAGAAAGCCACGGCUAACUACGUG
rnacentral:rRNA from 1 species